rnacentral:rRNA from 1 species
AUGUACAUUCCUACAACAUAGCAUUAAUGCAUUGAAUACCGUUAGAACUCUAUAGUUAAGCACACUCGGGCUAGAGUAGUACUGGGAUGGGUGAACACCUAGAAAGUCCUAGUGUUUUACAUG